GAGGUUGUAGCUCAGUCGGUUAGAGCGUCGGAUUGUGGUUCCGAAGGCCGUGGGUUCGAACCCCAUCAUCCUCC
rnacentral:tRNA from 1 species